rnacentral:rRNA from 1 species
GAUGAACGCUGGCGGCGUGCUUAACACAUGCAAGUCGAACGGUGAAGGUGGGAGCUUGGUCCUGCUGGAUCAGUGGCGAACGGGUGAGUAACACGUGAGUAACCUGCCCCGGACUCUGGGAUAAGCGUUGGAAACGACGUCUAAUACCGGAUACGAGACGAGACGGCAUCUUCAUCGUAUGGAAAGUUUUUUUGGUCCGGGAUGGACUCGCGGCCUAUCAGGUUGUUGGUGAGGUAAUGGCUCACCAAGCCUACGACGGGUAGCCGGCCUGAGAGGGUGACCGGCCACACUGGGACUGAGACACGGUCCAGACUCCUACGGGAGGCAGCAGUGGGGAAUAUUGCACAAUGGGCGAAAGCCUGAUGCAGCAACGCCGCGUGAGGGACGACGGCCUUCGGGUUGUAAACCUCUUUUAGUAGGGAAGAAGCGAAAGUGACGGUACCUGCAGAAAAAGCACCGGCUAACUACGUGCCAGCCGCCGCGGUAA